GUGGGGAAUUUUGGACAAUGGGCGCAAGCCUGAUCCAGCAAUGCCGCGUGCAGGAAGAAGGCCUUCGGGUUGUAAACUGCUUUUGUACGGAACGAAACGGUCCUGGUUAAUACCUGGGGCUAAUGACGGUACCGUAAGAAUAAGCACCGGCUAACUACGUGCCAGCAGCCGCGGUAAUACGUAGGGUGCGAGCGUUAAUCGGAAUUACUGGGCGUAAAGGGUGCGCAGGCGGUGCUGUAAGACAGGCGUGAAAUCCCCGGGCUCAACCUGGGAAUUGCGCUUGUGACUGCAAGGCUGGAGUGCGGCAGAGGGGGAUGGAAUUCCGCGUGUAGCAGUGAAAUGCGUAGAUAUGCGGAGGAACACCGAUGGCGAAGGCAAUCCCCUGGGCCUGCACUGACGCUCAUGCACGAAAGCGUGGGGAGCAAACAGGAUUAGAAACCCGUGUAGUCC
rnacentral:rRNA from 1 species